rnacentral:rRNA from 1 species
UAGGGAAUCUUCGGCAAUGGACGAAAGUCUGACCGAGCAACGCCGCGUGAGUGAAGAAGGUUUUCGGAUCGUAAAACUCUGUUGUUAGAGAAGAACAAGGAUGAGAGUAACUGUUCAUCCCUUGACGGUAUCUAACCAGAAAGCCACGGCUAACUACGUGCCAGCAGCCGCGGUAAUACGUAGGUGGCAAGCGUUGUCCGGAUUUAUUGGGCGUAAAGCGAGCGCAGGCGGUUUCUUAAGUCUGAUGUGAAAGCCCCCGGCUCAACCGGGGAGGGUCAUUGGAAACUGGGAGACUUGAGUGCAGAAGAGGAGAGUGGAAUUCCAUGUGUAGCGGUGAAAUGCGUAGAUAUAUGGAGGAACACCAGUGGCGAAGGCGGCUCUCUGGUCUGUAACUGACGCUGAGGCUCGAAAGCGUGGGGAGCAAACAGGAUUAGAUACCC